UGGAGCGUGUGGUUUAAUUCGAUGCUACGCGAAGAACCUUACCCAGGUUCGACAUACAGGUAGUAGGGAUUCGAAAGAUGACCGACCCUUCGGGGAGCCUGUACAGGUGCUGCAUGGCUGUCGUCAGCUCGUGCCGUGAGGUGUCCGGUUAAGUCCGGUAACGAGCGCAACCCCCAUUGUGUGUUAUAUGUGUCACACGAAACUGCCGGUAUCAAGCCGGAGGAAGGUGGGGAUGACGUCAAGUCAGCAUGGCCUUUAUAUCUUGGGCA
rnacentral:rRNA from 1 species